rnacentral:rRNA from 1 species
GCUGGCGGCGUGCUUACACAUGCAAGUCGAACGAUGAAAGAGGGAGCUUGCUCCUUCUGGAUUAGUGGCGAACGGGUGAGUAACACGUGAGUAACCUGCCCUUGACUCUGGGAUAAGCGUUGGAAACGACGUCUAAUACCGGAUACGACCCUCGGAGGCAUCUCCUGGGGGUGGAAAGAAUUUCGGUCAAGGAUGGACUCGCGGCCUAUCAGCUAGUUGGUGAGGUAAUGGCUCACCAAGGCGACGACGGGUAGCCGGCCUGAGAGGGUGACCGGCCACACUGGGACUGAGACACGGCCCAGACUCCUACGGGAGGCAGCAGUGGGGAAUAUUGCACAAUGGGCGAAAGCCUGAUGCAGCAACGCCGCGUGAGGGAUGACGGCCUUCGGGUUGUAAACCUCUUUUAGUAGGGAAGAAGCGAAAGUGACGGUACCUGCAGAAAAAGCACCGGCUAACUACGUGCCAGCAGCCGCGGUAAUACGUAGGGUGCAAGCGUUGUCCGGAAUUAUUGGGCGUAAAGAGCUCGUAGGCGGUUUGUCGCGUCUGCUGUGAAAUCUGGGGGCUCAACCCCCAGCCCUGCAGUGGGUACGGGGCAGACUAGAGUGCGGUAGGGGAGAUUGGAAUUCCUGGUGUAGCGGUGGAAUGCCCAAAUAUCAGGAGGACACCCGAUGGCAAGG